GGGAAAUUAGGGUCUUCACUUAUGACCCUACGAGUCUUCUCUCAGACUCACCCUCUCUUCUCAUGGAAUUUGCAGCGGCGCAGACUCUCCGACGCCAUGACGAACACCACGCCGGCGACCUCUCUGAUUCCUUCGUCUUUCUCAAACGAACGAAACGACGCCGUGACUUUCUCCUUCUCCGACGAAACCUUGACGGCUCCACCACCUCCCUCAUGUUCAAUUCAUUGCCUCCCCUAAAUCUAACCCUAAAUACGAAUCAGACCUAUAUCUAACAUUCAAAUAACACGAAGUCUCAUCGCAAAUCCGAAACUUAAUGGAAUCUACGAUCUACUACGGCAUCAGAGAAGGAAGUCGAAGAAAACGAGAAGCAGAGAUGAAGAUACUUACCUGCAACGGUCUUGAUGAUGAAAAGCGAAAACCAGAUAGGAGAUCCCUGAUUGCUUGGCGAAAUAAACGCAGCUGAAUCCGAAUACGAGAGAAGAUUCUGAUGCCCAUGAUGAAUUGUGAGCUGCUGAGCCACGCUCCUGAAUGGAUGUUAACGUUAGAGCAUGUCGAAUCGAACACGAGUCUUUUCCUUUUGAAUGGUGAUGCGUACGUGAGUUGUUGGACUGAUGAUGGGUUUUACGCAGACUGGGGUUGGGCAUGGGCUGUUAUGUGAAGUGAGUUAGGAUGAUCGAAUUCAGAAGGAAAACUUGAUGAAUUACACCUGCCGCGAUUCUGAACCGAGUUGACUUGUGUUAUGGAUUUAUCUCAACUGAUUUCGUUUUGUCUCGUGUCUUGCAGCAGCCUCUCUUUGAUCCUGACUCCACAUUAAUGAGUAAACCCGGUAUGUGUUCUCGAGAGUCGGGAGAGCAUUAUGCAGGUAUGUUCAUGGCUAUCUCUGAACUAGAAUGCCCCAAAUUCUUCAAUCAGUGUUUAUGCUCUACUUGUGCUCUGUUCUGGACUGUGUUGUAUGACGGCUGCCAUGAUCUUGCUGUUGACAUAUCCUUUUUCUUUCGCUUGCUGAACCGAACUCAGUGCUAUCAUCUUCAUCUUCGAUUUCAGGCACAACAGGCACAACGUUUCCAUUGGGUCUAUACCGGUUUGAUGUUUGUAGAGAGCAGUGCAGGCAAUAUGUUGCCAUUGGUUUGGUGAAGCAACUCAGUAGCAGGAUCUUAGUUAUAAAUUGGCAUGAGUGGGGAUCAUGGAUGUUCAUUCAAAUAUUUAUUCUAUUUGAAGGCGAGAUGAUGAAGACGAAGCAAACUUGAAGGUUAUAAGAGAAGAAGGUCAAGGGCCUGACUUGGUUUAGUGUAGGGGUGUUGACUUUGGUCAAAGCUUGUGUAAUUUCAUAAUUGGUGUGAUGACGCGAUUGUAUCAUGUAAUGGAUGCUACUGAACAUGAUUUCCCUUGAAAAUGUAAUGGUCUUUUCCAAAUCAGCUUCAUUUAUUUUUUUGUAAUUUUCUUUGUGGGAGUAUUGUAAUCUUAUUUGAAUGAAUGUAAUAUGAAUUGUGUAACAGGAAUAUGGAUUUUUGAACGAAUGUUUGGAAA